rnacentral:lncRNA from 1 species
GGAGUAAUUAUCAAAUUUUUGUAAUACCAUUUCCAACUUGAAAUAGAAAAGUUAUCGAUGAAACAACUAAUCUGUAUUUGAGGCAUUUCAAAAGUUAAUUUAAAGUCUUAUUUCCUAUAAUAUAUAAAUUAAAUAACUUAAAAUUAUAUAGCUUUUUAAAAAUAUUAAUUACAUUUGAUUUAAAAAAAAAAAUCUAGAAUAGAAUAAAAAAUAAAUCAAAC